AAAAGAUUCAGCCUUUGUUCAAGUUUUGAAUCCCUAGAAAGCUUCACCAAGAAUAUCCAUUGAGUUCAACAAAUGUUUACAUACAAUGAUGUCAACUCCAGUUUCCAGAGCCAAAAUUGGGAAGCCUAAAGACUUGGAGGCAGAGUCAUCCAGCACAUGAAGAAUGUGGCCACCAUAUGGAGAUCAGCUUGUGGAAAGGGGAUUCGCAUCAUUUGCAGGUCCAUUUGUCCCUCGGUUCAUUUUUAAUGACACUCACAUACAGACCAGAUCUACUCAAAUAUCACAGCUCUGUAGGAACAAACUCUAUCCAAC